rnacentral:rRNA from 1 species
UGGGGAAUAUUGCACAAUGGGCGCAAGCCUGAUGCAGCCAUGCCGCGUGUAUGAAGAAGGCCUUCGGGUUGUAAAGUACUUUCAGCGGGGAGGAAGGGAGUAAAGUUAAUACCUUUGCUCAUUGACGUUACCCGCAGAAGAAGCACCGGCUAACUCCGUGCCAGCAGCCGCGGUAAUACGGAGGGUGCAAGCGUUAAUCGGAAUUACUGGGCGUAAAGCGCACGCAGGCGGUUUGUUAAGUCAGAUGUGAAAUCCCCGGGCUCAACCUGGGAACUGCAUCUGAUACUGGCAAGCUUGAGUCUCGUAGAGGGGGGUAGAAUUCCAGGUGUAGCGGUGAAAUGCGUAGAGAUCUGGAGGAAUACCGGUGGCGAAGGCGGCCCCCUGGACAAAGACUGACGCUCAGGUGUGAAAGCGUGGGGAGCAAACAGG